rnacentral:rRNA from 1 species
UUGAACGCUGGCGGCAUGCUUUACCCAUGCCAGUCGAACGGUAACAGGCCUUCGGGUGCUGACGAGUGGCGAACGGGUGAGUAAUGCAUCGGAACGUGCCCAGAGGUGGGGGAUAACGCAGCGAAAGCUGUGCUAAUACCGCAUGUGAUCUGAGGAUGAAAGCGGGGGACCAGGCAGCAAUGUUUGGCCUCGCGCCUUUGGAGCGGCCGAUGUCAGAUUAGGUAGUUGGUGGGGUAAAGGCCUACCAAGCCGACGAUCUGUAGCUGGUCUGAGAGGACGACCAGCCACACUGGGACUGAGACACGGCCCAGACUCCUACGGGAGGCAGCAGUGGGGAAUUUUGGACAAUGGGCGCAAGCCUGAUCCAGCAAUGCCGCGUGCGGGAAGAAGGCCUUCGGGUUGUAAACCGCUUUUGUACAGAACGAAAAGGCUCUGGCUAAUACCUGGGGCUGAUGACGGUACCGUAAGAAUAAGCACCGGCUAACUACGUG